UGGGGAAUAUUGGACAAUGGGCGAAGGCCUGAUCCAGCAAUGCCGCGUGUGUGAAGAAGGUCUUCGGAUUGUAAAGCACUUUCGACGGGGACGAUGAUGACGGUACCCGUAGAAGAAGCCCCGGCUAACUUCGUGCCAG
rnacentral:rRNA from 1 species